rnacentral:lncRNA from 1 species
CUAGAUCAAGUCUAACGGAGCCGAUCGUCGAUUCGAAAGUCCGAAACUCGAAAACAACUUGGAAGCACAGAGCGCUCCAUACUUCCAGAAGCACACCAGACGCAUAUAUAUAUAUAUACUAGUUAUAGUGCACGUGCAAUGCACGUAACAUUUAAUUAAAUUAAACUUAUAUUUAUAUUUAAAAUUUAAGUAAUUAUUGGUGGUAUAAAUUUAUUUAUCAGUU